CCUACGGGAGGCAGCAGUAGGGAAUAUUGCUCAAUGGGGGCAACCCUGAAGCAGCAACGCCGCGUGGGGGAUGAAGGUUUUCGGAUUGUAAACCCCUUUUGGUCGAGGAGCAAAUUCCGCUAUCUAACGAAGAAGCACCGGCAAACGCCGUGCCAGCAGCCGCGGUCAUACGGAGGGUGCAAGCGUUACUCGGAAUCACUGGGCGUAAAGAGCGCGUAGGCGGGCUGGUAAGUCAGAUGUGAAAGCCUAUGGCUUAACCAUAGAACUGCAUUUGAAACUGUUAUUCUAGAGUAUGGGAGAGGUAGGUGGAAUUCGUGGUGUAGGGGUAAAAUCCGUAGAGAUCAAGAGGAAUACUCAUUGCGAAGGCGACCUGCUAGAACAUAACUGACGCUGAUGCGCGAAAGCGUGGGGAGCAAACAGGAUUAGAUACCCGUGUAGUC
rnacentral:rRNA from 1 species